rnacentral:tRNA from 1 species
GCCCUGGUGGCACAAUGGUUAAGUGCAUGGCUUCUAACCAAAAGAUUAGUGAUUCAAACCCACCCCAUGGCU